AGGGGCAUAGUGAAAUGGUAUCACUACGGUCUCCAAAACCGUCUUUGAGGGUUCGAAUCCUUCUGCCCCUGCCA
rnacentral:tRNA from 1 species